UACUCGCGGUCCAAGUCGCAGCCAUUUUUAUUGGGUCUAAAGGGUCUGUAGCCGGCCGGAUAAGUCUCUUGAGAAAUCCAGCAGCUCAACUGUUGGGCUUUCAGGAGAUACUGUUCGGCUCGAGGCCGGGAGAGGUGAGAGGUACUUCAGGGGUAGGGGUGAAAUCUUGUAAUCCUUGAAGGACCACCAGUGGCGAAGGCGUCUCACCAGAACGGACCUGACGGCAAGGGACGAAAGCUAGGGGCACGAACCGG
rnacentral:rRNA from 1 species